rnacentral:rRNA from 1 species
GGUUAAGCGACUAAGCGUACACGGUGGAUGCCCUGGCAGUCAGAGGCGAUGAAGGGCGUGCUAAUCUGCGAUAAGCGCCGGUAAGGUGAUAUGAACCGUUAUAACCGGCGAUACCCGAAUGGGGAAACCCAGUGUGACUCGUCACACUAUCAUUAACUGAAUCCAUAGGUUAAUGAGGCGAACCGGGGGAACUGAAACAUCUAAGUACCCCGAGGAAAAGAAAUCAACCGAGAUUCCCCCAGUAGCGGCGAGCGAACGGGGAGGAGCCCAGAGCCUGAAUCAGCAUGUGUGUUAGUGGAAGCGUCUGGAAAGGCGCGCGAUACAGGGUGACAGCCCCGUACACAAAAGCGCAUGUGCUGUGAGCUCGAUGAGUAGGGCGGGACACGUGGUAUCCUGUCUGAAUAUGGGGGGACCAUCCUCCAAGGCUAAAUACUCCUGACUGACCGAUAGUGAACCAGUACCGUGAGGGAAAGGCGAAAAGAACCCCGGCGAGGGGAGUGAAAAAGAACCUGAAACCGUGUACGUACAAGCAGUGGGAGCCCCACCACCAAAGCAUUCUCUGGUGUUGAAGGCCCUGCAAAGCAGCAUCGCGGUGGCGGAGCGUCGUUUGCGACGCCCAACACACAAAACAAGCGGUGAGUGCUUUGGGGUGGGGUGACUGCGUACCUUUUGUAUAAUGGGUCAGCGACUUAUAUUCUGUAGCAAGGUUAACCGAAUAGGGGAGCCGGAGGGAAACCGAGUCUUAAUUGGGCGUUAAGUUGCAGGGUAUAGACCCGAAACCCGGUGAUCUAGCCAUGGGCAGGUUGAAGGUUGGGUAACACUAACUGGAGGACCGAACCGACUAAUGUUGAAAAAUUAGCGGAUGACCUGUGGCUGGGGGUGAAAGGCCAAUCAAACCGGGAGAUAGCUGGUUCUCCCCGAAAGCUAUUUAGGUAGCGCCUCGUGAAUUCAUCUCCGGGGGUAGAGCACUGUUUCGGCUAGGGGGCCAUCCCGGCUUACCAACCCGAUGCAAACUGCGAAUACCGGAGAAUGUUAUCACGGGAGACACACGGCGGGUGCUAACGUCCGUCGUGAAGAGGGAAACAACCCAGACCGCCAGCUAAGGUCCCAAAGUCAUGGUU